UUUCCAAGGUACCAGUCGCUCUGGUUCUCUACCAAGCCCAGGACCUGCUGACCUGUAAAGUACAGAGAAAGCAAAGGUAUUAAAAGAAGCCAAGCCACAUGGAACAGUGAGCCAUCCUUUGCAACUCUGCCAAUCCCGGUUCCUCAGCCCAAUGGCAUCUGGUCUCCAGAGGUCAAAGUCUAAGGCUUUAACCUGGAUGAGGUGAACACACGUGAGACCUGCCAUCUCAUUAAGAGGCACAAGUUAACUUAUGAAAAUGAAGCUGUCUUCUUUGCUUAUUCAUACAUCACCACUAACAGCCAGACAAGAGCGAACAAGCUUGCUGUUCUGCUGGGGCCCUGGUGUCGGUGUCACCAGCCAGCAGACAGAUGGCUCCAGGCUGGGAA